rnacentral:tRNA from 1 species
GUGUGGGUAGUUUAAUGGCAAAGCACCCGUCUGUGAAACGGGAAACAUGAGUUCAAUUCUCAUCUCACAUCCCU